rnacentral:rRNA from 1 species
UACGUAGGGUCCGAGCGUUGUCCGGAGUUGACUGGCGUAAAGCGCGCGCAGGCGGCGGUGCUGGCCCGGCGUGAAAGGCCCCCGGCUCAACCGGGGAGGGUCGUCGGGGACCGCACCGCUUGAGGGCGGUAGGGGCUGGUGGAAUGCCUGGUGUAGUGGUGAAAUGCGUAGAGAUCAGGCGGAACACCCGUGGCGAAGGCG